rfam:Trichomonas vaginalis G3, whole genome shotgun sequence.
CUUAAUUUGAAUCAACACGGGGAAACUUACCAGGACCAGAUGUUUUUUAUGACUGACAGGCUUCGGGUCUUUCAGGAUAUUGUUUUUGGUGGUGCAUGGCCGUUGGUGGUGCGUGGGUUGACCUGUCUAGCGUUGAUUCAGCUAACGAGCGAGAUUAUCGCCAAUUAUUUACUUUGCCGAAGUCCUUCGGUUAAAGUUCUAAUUGGGACUCCCUGCGAUUUUAGCAGGUGGAAGAGGGUAGCAAUAACAGGUCCGUGAUGCCCUUUAGAUGCUCUGGGCUGCACGCGUGCUACAAUGUUAGGAUCAAUAGGACUGCGAGCCUGAGAGGGUGCGCUACUCUUAUAAUCCCUAACGUAGUUGGGAUUGACGUUUGUAAUCAGCGUCAUGAACCAGGAAUCCCUUGUAAAUGUGUGUCAACAACGCACGUUGAAUACGUCCCUGCCCUUUGUACACACCGCCCGUCGCUCCUACCGAUUGGAUGACUCGGUGAAAUCACCGGAUGCUUACGAGCAGAAAGUGAUUAAAUCACGUUAUCUAGAGGAAGGAGAAGUCGUAACAAGGUAACGGUAGGUGAACCUGCCGUUGGAUCAGUU